rnacentral:rRNA from 2 species
AUAGGGUCAAGUGAAUAAGUGCAUCAGGCGGAUGCCUUGGCGAUGAUAGGCGACGAAGGACGUGUAAGCCUGCGAAAAGCGCGGGGGAGCUGGCAAUAAAGCUAUGAUUCCGCGAUGUCCGAAUGGGGAAACCCACUGCAUUCUGUGCAGUAUCCUAAGUUGAAUACAUAGGCUUAGAGAAGCGAACCCGGAGAACUGAACCAUCUAAGUACCCGGAGGAAAAGAAAUCAACCGAGAUUCCGCAAGUAGUGGCGAGCGAACGCGGAGGAGCCUGUACGUAAUAACUGUCGAGAUAGAAGAACAAGCUGGGAAGCUUGACCAUAGCGGGUGACAGUCCCGUAUUCGAAAUCUCAACAGCGGUACUAAGCGUACGAAAAGUAGGGCGGGACACGUGAAAUCCUGUCUGAAUAUGGGGGGACCAUCCUCCAAGGCUAAAUACUCAUCAUCGACCGAUAGUGAACCAGUACCGUGAGGGAAAGGCGAAAAGAACCCCGGGAGGGGAGUGAAACAGAACCUGAAACCUGAUGCAUACAAACAGUGGGAGCGCCCUAGUGGUGUGACUGCGUACCUUUUGUAUAAUGGGUCAACGACUUACAUUCAGUAGCGAGCUUAACCGGAUAGGGGAGGCGUAGGGAAACCGAGUCUUAAUAGGGCGAUGAGUUGCUGGGUGUAGACCCGAAACCGAGUGAUCUAUCCAUGGCCAGGUUGAAGGUGCCGUAACAGGUACUGGAGGACCGAACCCACGCAUGUUGCAAAAUGCGGGGAUGAGCUGUGGGUAGGGGUGAAAGGCUAAACAAACUCGGAGAUAGCUGGUUCUCCCCGAAAACUAUUUAGGUAGUGCCUCGAGCAAGACACUGAUGGGGGUAAAGCACUGUUAUGGCUAGGGGGUUAUUGCAACUUACCAACCCAUGGCAAACUCAGAAUACCAUCAAGUGGUUCCUCGGGAGACAGACAGCGGGUGCUAACGUCCGUUGUCAAGAGGGAAACAACCCAGACCGCCGGCUAAGGUCCCAAAUGAUAGAUUAAGUGGUAAACGAAGUGGGAAGGCACAGACAGCCAGGAUGUUGGCUUAGAAGCAGCCAUCAUUUAAAGAAAGCGUAAUAGCUCACUGGUCGAGUCGUCCUGCGCGGAAGAUGUAACGGGGCUCAAAUCUAUAACCGAAGCUGCGGAUGCCGGUUUACCGGCAUGGUAGGGGAGCGUUCUGUAGGCUGAUGAAGGUGCAUUGUAAAGUGUGCUGGAGGUAUCAGAAGUGCGAAUGUUGACAUGAGUAGCGAUAAAGCGGGUGAAAAGCCCGCUCGCCGAAAGCCCAAGGUUUCCUACGCAACGUUCAUCGGCGUAGGGUAAGUCGGCCCCUAAGGCGAGGCAGAAAUGCGUAGUCGAUGGGAAACAGGUUAAUAUUCCUGUACUUGAUUCAAAUGCGAUGUGGGGACGGAGAAGGUUAGGUUGGCAAGCUGUUGGAAUAGCUUGUUUAAGCCGGUAGGUGGAAGACUUAGGCAAAUCCGGGUUUUCUUAACACCGAGAAGUGAUGACGAGUGUCUACGGACACGAAGCAACCGAUACCACGCUUCCAGGAAAAGCCACUAAGCUUCAGUUUGAAUCGAACCGUACCGCAAACCGACACAGGUGGGCAGGAUGAGAAUUCUAAGGCGCUUGAGAGAACUCGGGAGAAGGAACUCGGCAAAUUGAUACCGUAACUUCGGGAGAAGGUAUGCCCUCUAAGGUUAAGGACUUGCUCCGUAAGCCCCGGAGGGUCGCAGAGAAUAGGUGGCUGCGACUGUUUAUUAAAAACACAGCACUCUGCCAACACGAAAGUGGACGUAUAGGGUGUGACGCCUGCCCGGUGCCGGAAGGUUAAUUGAAGAUGUGCAAGCAUCGGAUCGAAGCCCCGGUAAACGGCGGCCGUAACUAUAACGGUCCUAAGGUAGCGAAAUUCCUUGUCGGGUAAGUUCCGACCCGCACGAAUGGCGUAACGAUGGCCACACUGUCUCCUCCCGAGACUCAGCGAAGUUGAAGUGGUUGUGAAGAUGCAAUCUACCCGCUGCUAGACGGAAAGACCCCGUGAACCUUUACUGUAGCUUUGCAUUGGACUUUGAAGUCACUUGUGUAGGAUAGGUGGGAGGCUUGGAAGCAGAGACGCCAGUCUCUGUGGAGUCGUCCUUGAAAUACCACCCUGGUGUCUUUGAGGUUCUAACCCAGACCCGUCAUCCGGGUCGGGGACCGUGCAUGGUAGGCAGUUUGACUGGGGCGGUCUCCUCCCAAAGCGUAACGGAGGAGUUCGAAGGUUACCUAGGUCCGGUCGGAAAUCGGACUGAUAGUGCAAUGGCAAAAGGUAGCUUAACUGCGAGACCGACAAGUCGGGCAGGUGCGAAAGCAGGACAUAGUGAUCCGGUGGUUCUGUAUGGAAGGGCCAUCGCUCAACGGAUAAAAGGUACUCCGGGGAUAACAGGCUGAUUCCGCCCAAGAGUUCAUAUCGACGGCGGAGUUUGGCACCUCGAUGUCGGCUCAUCACAUCCUGGGGCUGUAGUCGGUCCCAAGGGUAUGGCUGUUCGCCAUUUAAAGUGGUACGUGAGCUGGGUUUAAAACGUCGUGAGACAGUUUGGUCUCUAUCUGCAGUGGGCGUUGGAAGUUUGACGGGGGCUGCUCCUAGUACGAGAGGACCGGAGUGGACGAACCUCUGGUGUACCGGUUGUAACGCCAGUUGCAUAGCCGGGUAGCUAAGUUCGGAAGAGAUAAGCGCUGAAAGCAUCUAAGCGCGAAACUCGCCUGAAGAUGAGACUUCCCUUGCGGUUUAACCGCACUAAAGGGUCGUUCGAGACCAGGACGUUGAUAGGUGGGGUGUGGAAGCGCGGUAACGCGUGAAGCUAACCCAUACUAAUUGCCCGUGAGGCUUGACUCUAU